rnacentral:rRNA from 1 species
AUACGUAGGUGGCAAGCGUUGUCCGGAAUUAUUGGGCGUAAAGCGCAUGUAGGCGGUUUGGUAAGUCGGUCGUGAAAAUGCGGGGCUUAACGCCGGAUGGCGAUCGCAACUGCUGAACUUGAGUGCAGGAGAGGAAAGGGGGACUCCCAGUGUAGGGGUGGAAUGCGUAGAUAUUGGGAAGAACACCGGUGGCGAAGGCGCCUUUCUGGACUGUGUCUGACGCUCAGAUGCGAAAGCCAGGGUAGCGAACGGGAUUAGAUACCCCGGUAGUCCUGGCCGUAAACGAUGGGUACUAGGUGUGGGAGGUAUCGACUCCUUCCGUGCCGGAGUUAACGCAAUAAGUACCCCGCCUGGGGAGUACGGCCGCAAGGCUUAAACUCAAAGGAAUUGACGGGG